UAGGGAAUCUUCGGCAAUGGACGGAAGUCUGACCGAGCAACGCCGCGUGAGUGAAGAAGGUUUUCGGAUCGUAAAGCUCUGUUGUUAGAGAAGAACGUUGGUAGGAGUGGAAAAUCUACCAAGUGACGGUAACUAACCAGAAAGGGACGGCUAACUACGUGCCAGCAGCCGCGGUAAUACGUAGGUCCCGAGCGUUGUCCGGAGUUAUUGGGCGUAAAGCGAGCGCAGGCGGUUCUUUAAGUCUGAAGUUAAAGGCAGUGGCUUAACCAUUGUACGCUUUGGAAACUGGAGAACUUGAGUGCAGAAGGGGAGAGUGGAAUUCCAUGUGUAGCGGUGAAAUGCGUAGAUAUAUGGAGGAACACCGGUGGCGAAAGCGGCUCUCUGGUCUGUAACUGACGCUGAGGCUCGAAAGCGUGGGGAGCAAACAGG
rnacentral:rRNA from 1 species